AUCGCUUUUCCAUUCAUGUU
rnacentral:miRNA from 1 species